rnacentral:tRNA from 1 species
CGUCCCGUGGCUGAAUGGUAUAGGCAGCGGUCUUAUAUGCCGUCUAACGUGAGUUCGAUUCUCACCGGGACAACCA